AGAACGAACGCUGGCGGCAUGCCUAACACAUGCAAGCCGAACGAGACCUUCGGGUCUAGUGGCGCACGGGUGCGUAACGCGUGGGAAUCUGCCCUUGGGUUCGGAAUAACAGUUGGAAACGACUGCUAAUACCGGAUGAUGACGUAAGUCCAAAGAUUUAUCGCCCAGGGAUGAGCCCGCGUAGGAUUAGCUAGUUGGUGAGGUAAAGGCUCACCAAGGCGACGAUCCUUAGCUGGUCUGAGAGGAUGAUCAGCCACACUGGGACUGAGACACGGCCCAGACUCCUACGGGAGGCAGCAGUGGGGAAUAUUGGACAAUGGGCGAAAGCCUGAUCCAGCAAUGCCGCGUGAGUGAUGAAGGCCUUAGGUUGUAAAGCUCUAUUACCCGGGAAGAUAAUGACUGUACCGGAGAAUAAGCUCCGGCUAACUCCGCGCCAGCAGCCGC
rnacentral:rRNA from 1 species